CCUACGGGGGGCAGCAGUGGGGAAUAUUGGACAAUGGGCGAAAGCCUGAUCCAGCCAUGCCGCGUGUGUGAAGAAGGCCUUCGGGUUGUAAAGCACUUUCAGUGGGGAAGAAAGCCUUGGGGCUAAUACCCUCGAGGAAGGACAUCACCCACAGAAGAAGCACCGGCUAACUCCGUGCCAGCAGCCGCGGGAAUACGGAGGGUGCGAGCGGUAAUCGGAAUUACUGGGCGUAAAGCGCGCGUAGGCGGUCUGAUAAGCCGGUUGUGAAAGCCCCGGGCUCAACCUGGGAACGGCAUCCGGAACUGUCAGGCUAGAGUGCAGGAGAGGAAGGUAGAAUUCCCGGUGUAGCGGUGAAAUGCGUAGAGAUCGGGAGGAAUACCAGUGGCGAAGGCGGCCUUCUGGACUGACACUGACGCUGAGGUGCGAAAGCGUGGGUAGCAAACAGGAUUAGAUACCCCGGUAGUC
rnacentral:rRNA from 1 species